ensembl:lncRNA
UGUCACUGUAAGGUCUACUACACCUGUUGUAUUCAGCAUGUCACUGUAAGGUCUACUACACCUGUUGUAUUCAGCAUGUCACUGUGAGGUCUACACCUGUUGUAUUCAGCAUUUCACUGUAAGGUCUACUACACCUGUUGUAUUCAGCAUUUCACUGUAAGGUCUACUACACCUGUUGUAUUCAGCAUUUCACUGUAAGGUCUACUACACCUGUUGUAUUCAGCAUGUCACUGUAAGGUCUACACCUGUUGUAUUUGGUGCAUGUGACGAAUACAAUUUGAUUUGAAGUAAGUCAUGCAAGCAGUAAAAUCAGAGUUCAAAAACUGAUAAAAAUAUACCUUAUGGAAGAGCGUAGACUGUGAAGAGACACA